UACGGAGGGUGCGAGCGUUAAUCGGAAUUACCGGGCGUAAAGCGCGCGUAGACGGUUUUGUAAGUCAGAUGUGAAAUCCCUGGGCUCAACCUGGGAACUGCAUUUGAGACUGCAUGGCUAGAGUAUGGAAGAGGGAAGUGGAAUUUCCGGUGUAGCGGUGAAAUGCGUAGAGAUGGGGAGGAACACCAGUGGCGAAAGCGACUUCCUGGUCCAAUACUGACGUUGAGGUGCGAAAGCGUGGGGAGCAAACAGG
rnacentral:rRNA from 1 species